rnacentral:misc_RNA from 1 species
AAGUCGUAACAAGGUUUCCGUAGGUGAACCUGCGGAAGGAUCAUUAUCAACGUAUCCACGUUUAUAAACCAAUUUACGUGAACUGUCGCCUUCACCUCUGGGCUAUCGGCCGCUGCUUAUGACGUUUUAUAUGGGCUCAUUGUAUGGUUAUGGGCUCGUCAUUCGCAACUAAGGCUGUCUCUCCAGAGUGUAUUAACCAUACGUUAUAAUCUAUUAACCAAUUGAACCAAUUCAAUUUUUUCUUUUGUUUGAUCUGAUUUGUUUCUUACUCAGUGUCCAAAAAAACACCGAGAAGAAAUCGAAUUACGAAACAAAAAUAUGAACAACUCUUAGCAACGGAUAUCUUGGUUCUC